CCCACUGCUGGGCAUGAAAUAUACCUGACAAAGGACUUGUGGAUGUUGUCUGCAGACGCUGCCCAAAGAAAUACCCCCGGCAUUGCCUCGGGAGUGCUGUGCCAGCUCCUGCAAUAUUUUAAUGGCAGAACUGAGUGUAGUUGCUGUGCGGUGAGAAGAAGCAUCUAAACUCUGUCCCUGCAACACCAAAUGCUUCUGUCUGUCAUAUAAAGUUACUGAUCACUCUCAGCCACUCAAGUGUACCUUCGCAUUAACUGCUGUCAUCAGGGCAUUCUGGAAGCCAGUGUACCACAGGUGGCCAGUGGAUAGCUGAAAGCUGUCACCUACCACACAGGUGGGAGAUGUGAGUUCUGUGGGCUCUCAAGGUAACACAUUCCUCCACACAGUCCUUGAGGAACGCUGAAAUUUCAAGGAAGAGAAUCAAAGGCACAAUGCCUGCAGUGAAGGGAGCCGGCACUCAGCCUGCUGCUGGACAGACCUCUCAUCUCCCUCUUGUGCUGCCUCUGCUGUGGAUCAGUGCUGCAGGGGCUCAGGCUGCCAUUCUCAAGACACUCCACCAGCGGCAUUAAUGCAGCCGGGGCACUGACAAGCUGAGCUAAGACUUGCAGCAGCGCUGCUUCAACUCAAAGUAACGUGUGGUGCAAAAAAAAAAGUCUCUUCUUGGCAGAGGACAACACAAAGCUGUAAGAGGGCAAACAGAUGGGGACUGCCUCUACCCUGGUCAGGAAAAAUAGAAGUGUCGUUUGUGAAAAACCCCUGGCAUUUCAAGAGCUGCAUUCCAUUGUGUCAGACAAAAUGAGACCUUUCACAGCUUACCGAUGGGUGGGUGAGCAGUGAAGCUGGGGCUGGCCCAGCCCAGGUGAGCGCCCUCUGGCACUGACUGCAGGGCACUCGGGCUCGUGUUCUCUGGCCUCAUGCACCUCCUGGAGAAAUCUGUUUUCAAAAAAGUCACCUUUGAGGAAGCAUUUCUGCAUGGCAAGUACAACUUCUAUCAGGAAAGCUGCUUGAAGAGCUCCUGAUCAGAUGGUGUGUGCUUUCUGAUGGGCUUUUCUUUCUCGGGUGAUUUCCAGGAAGAUCUCUUGUCAUCAGUGAGAGCAAUGGGCACAGCUGGAAGCAGGAAACCCACCUUUCAGUGCUGGAUAGUGACUGUAUGCCCUAUGCUAUAUAUCAUCAUCUCUCUGCCUCCAUUUCCGUUCUGCUUCCUAUUUCUCUCCUUUGUAAGACAGAUGCACACUUAUUUAUUUCACCGAGCACCAUGCAGUCCUGGUGUCAUUUGGCAUCUGUGGAUGCUACAGUAAUAUGAAUAGUCAUUGCAAAGCAUUUUCUGAUAUUAAACAAAUUACAUAAAGAGAAAAUAAAGUACAAAACACAAGUGGUAACUCACAGAAAUCAUUAUGUACAUUUCUUGUUGGAAAACCUAUCUGAAUGUCAGUGAGCUGAAUGUCAGACGCUGGAUGGGGUGUCCUGGGGUGCAGGCGAGUGCCAAAGCGAGUGGUAAGGCCUGGCUGGCAUUCCAACACAGGAGCCUUGGGUCAAUGCUGCCACAUCUCUCUCUCAGUAGUCAUAAUUCGCUUCACACUCUACACAGUGUGAGAGUGAACCUUUUGUGAGAAUGCAGAAACAAGAUGUGUGAAAAAGUGAAUAAAUAUUGCAGUAAUUUCAUUGUGUGUACUUGGUAAGUUGGAUACACGCAUUAAUUUUUCCUGAAUAAUCCUUUAAUUUAGAGACUGCUUUACAAAACAAUGUCGGUGGCAGUGAAUAAUGCCUAUUUGAAUUUCUAAGCAGGGCCGAUAGGCUGAGAUCGUUCAGUCUGUGCAUUUAAAAAGUGAUGGAUUCAGUACCACCCUUCCUCCUCUUCCUGCAAUCAAUAAAUAUUCCCUUCCUAAUCGCCGGCCUCAGCCGUUUGGCCACGUUCUGCACUGAUUGGAUUCCAGAAACUAGCAGAUGACUGCGAUGACUUGGAAAGUCAGUGGGACAGCGUUCCCCGGGCACGGCUCGCAGCGUUGGCGAUCGCGAGGUGCGCGCACGGCGUCUGACCACCGCGUGAGCGACUUCGGGUCUGCGUGAACCUGCCGUUAGAACGCGGCGCAGAGCGUUUGAUAAGGCGUGUGCAGAACUCGGUCUCCUUUUAGCCUACGCGUCUAAAACAACUUUCCACAGGACCUCCGAGAUGGCCGGGGACUCCUGCCCGGACAACCGCCCUCGGCGCGGAGCCGGGCAGCGCCGCCCGCCCCGGAGCUGCACGGCAGAGGGCGUCAGACGGCGGCGGUAGCUCCGGCGGA